rnacentral:rRNA from 1 species
GACGGCGGACGGGUGGAUAACACGUGGGCAACCUGACCUGANNAGACUGGGAUAACUUCGGGAAACCGGAGCUAAUACCGGAUGACAUAAAGGAACUCCUGUUCCUUUAUUGAAAGAUGGCUNCGGCUAUCACUUAUAGAUGGGCCCGCGGCGCAUUAGCUAGUUGGUGAGGUAACGGCUCACCAAGGCGACGAUGCGUAGCCGACCUGAGAGGGUGAUCGGCCACACUGGGACUGAGACACGGCCCAGACUCCUACGGGAGGCAGCAGUAGGGAAUCUUCCGCAAUGGACGAAAGUCUGACGGAGCAACGCCGCGUGAACGAUGAAGGCCUUCGGGUCGUAAAGUUCUGUUGUUAGGGAAGAACAAGUGCUAGUUAAAUAAGCUGGGCACCUUGACGGUACCUAACCAGAAAGCCACGGCUAACUACGUGCCANGCAGCCGCGGUAAUACGUAGGUGGCNAGCGUUGUCCGGAAUUAUGGGGCGUNAAGCGCGCGCAGGCGGUUUCU